GAUUUCUGAAAGGACCAGAAACAGAGAUUCUCUCAUGAAAGCAGCCUGUGCAUAUGUGUGAAACAGUCAUGGUGGUUAGUCCUUCAGGGGCAGAAUUUGUCCCAGACAAGAAUAAAGAAAGGCUCUCCUGUUGUACUCAUCUCCUUGCCAGCCAAGUCUCACACCCCUACUGCACUACCCCAGGAAUGUCAC
rnacentral:lncRNA from 12 species